UACGGGGGGAGCAAGCGUUGUUCGGAUUUACUGGGCGUAAAGGGCGCGUAGGCGGUCAGCACAAGUCAGUUGUGAAAUCUCCGAGCUUAACUCGGAAAGGUCAACUGAUACUGUGCGACUAGAGUGCGGAAGGGGCAACUGGAAUUCUUGGUGUAGCGGUGAAAUGCGUAGAUAUCGAGAGGAACACCUGCGGCGAAGGCGGGUUGCUGGGCCGACACUGACGCUGAUGCGCGAAAGCCAGGGGAGCGAACGGG
rnacentral:rRNA from 1 species